CUCAGAAUGGUCUCCAGGCUUCUAUAAUUAGGCCUUGCCUGCCGCCAGGCCAACAGAUUCUCUAGCUUGGCUGAGAUAACCAAGUCUGGCACUGAACAGAGCCCUUUGUCGACUCUUUGGCUCUUGCAAUAUCCAGAGGAAAGGCGUCCUCACUGAUCUUCCACUGGGGAAGCCGAGACCCCAGGAGGGUCAGUCUCUGUUGGAGUCAGUCAGGUCGAGGAGUCACCAGAUGUGACAGGAAAAGAGGCUUGUGCAGAGAGCUGGGGCCAUUCUUCUGACAUCUUCAGUUCCUCCUUCCCUUCCUCCAUCUUGCUGCCCGCAUGCCCCUCCUUCAAGAAUGCUUUUCAUGGUUGUCAGCCUACUCCACAGGUAUUGCUUCAUCAGUCGAGCCUUCCCUGCUCUUCCCUUCUUUGGGCUGAGUUCUGGAAAAGCCACCAGUGUCUCAUCCCUGGGUGAUGUGAUCUCUGCUAGUGGGCCUGGUAGCUUACCCGGCACCCCAGCCAUGGAAGAUGGAGACAGAACCCAGCAGAACAGACUGGACAGGAAGACAUGUCAGCAGCUCUGGGUUGGACUGAGACUCCGCCUCAAAGAAUAAGGCAGAAGAGUGUCAGGAUGAUUCCAGACAGCAACCUCAAGGCUCUACAUGCAUGAACACACAAGCUCUGCCAGAAUGUAUGCAUACCAUGUACACAUGCGGGCCCCCAUGCAAGCAUGCAUACCCACAAGCACACAUGCCACACACAUGAAACAAAAAACAAAAAUAAAGCGUUUGGAUG
rnacentral:lncRNA from 1 species